rnacentral:tRNA from 1 species
GGCGACAUGGCCGAGUGGUCUAAGGCGCUAGAAUCAGGUUGUCCCGUAAUCUAGUCAUUCGUGGCGUGGGUUCGAAUCCCACUGUCGUCA